rnacentral:rRNA from 1 species
GAUGAACGCUGGCGGCGUGCUUAACACAUGCAAGUCGAACGGAAAGGCCCAAGCUUGCUUGGGUACUCGAGUGGCGAACGGGUGAGUAACACGUGGGUGAUCUGCCCUGCACUUCGGGAUAAGCCUGGGAAACUGGGUCUAAUACCGGAUAGGACCACUUCUUGGAUGUUGUGGUGGAAAGUUUUUUCGGUGUGGGAUGAGCUCGCGGCCUAUCAGCUUGUUGGUGGGGUAAUGGCCUACCAAGGCGUCGACGGGUAGCCGGCCUGAGAGGGUGUACGGCCACAUUGGGACUGAGAUACGGCCCAGACUCCUACGGGAGGCAGCAGUGGGGAAUAUUGCACAAUGGGCGCAAGACUGAUGCAGCGACGCCGCGUGGGGGAUGACGGCCUUCGGGUUGUAAACUCCUUUCGCUAGGGACGAAGCGUUUUGUGACGGUACCUGGAGAAGAAGCACCGGCUAACUACGUG